rnacentral:rRNA from 1 species
AGUGAACGCUGGCGGUAGGCCUAACACAUGCAAGUCGAACGGCAGCACAGUAAGAGCUUGCUCUUACGGGUGGCGAGUGGCGGACGGGUGAGGAAUACAUCGGAAUCUACUUUUUCGUGGGGGAUAAUGUAGGGAAACUUACGCUAAUACCGCAUACGACCUACGGGUGAAAGCAGGGGAUCUUCGGACCUUGCGCGAUUGAAUGAGCCGAUGUCGGAUUAGCUAGUUGGCGGGGUAAAGGCCCACCAAGGCGACGAUCCGUAGCUGGUCUGAGAGGAUGAUCAGCCACACUGGAACUGAGACACGGUCCAGACUCCUACGGGAGGCAGCAGUGGGGAAUAUUGGACAAUGGGCGCAAGCCUGAUCCAGCCAUACCGCGUGGGUGAAGAAGGCCUUCGGGUUGUAAAGCCCUUUUGUUGGGAAAGAAAAGCAGCAGGUUAAUACCCUGCUGUUCUGACGGUACCCAAAGAAUAAGCACCGGCUAACUUCGUG